rnacentral:rRNA from 1 species
ACGGCUCAGUAACACGUGGAUAACCUACCCUUAGGACCGGGAUAACCCUGGGAAACUGGGGAUAAUACCGGAUAUAUGGAGAUACCUGGAAUGGUUCUCCACUUAAAGCUCCGGCGCCUAAGGAUGGAUCUGCGGCAGAUUAGGUCGUUGGUGGGGUAAUGGCCCACCAAGCCUGUAAUCUGUACGGGUUGUGAGAGCAAGAGCCCGGAGAUGGAACCUGAGACAAGGUUCCAGGCCCUACGGGGCACAGCAGGCGCGAAACCUCCGCAAUGCGAGCAAUCGCGACGGGGGGACCCCAAGUGCCACUCUUAACGGGGUGGCUUUUCAUAAGUGUAAAAAGCUUUUGGAAUAAGAGCUGGGCAAGACCGGUGCCAGCCGCCGCGGUAACACUGGCAGCUCAAGUGGUGGCCGUUUUUAUUGGGCCUAAAGCGUUCGUAGCCGGUUUGAUAAGUCUCUGGUGAAAUCCUACAGCUUAACUGUGGGAAUUGCUGGAGAUACUAUCAGACUUGAGGUCGGGAGAGGUUAGAGGAACUCCCAGGGUAGGGGUGAAAUCCUAUAAUCCUGGGAGGACCACCUGUGGCGAAGGCGUCUAACUGGAACGAACCUGACGGUGAGUAACGAAAGCCAGGGGCGCGAACCGGAUUAGAUACCCGGGUAGUCCUGGCCGUAAACGAUACUCGCUAGGUGUCGGCCACGGUGCGACCGUUGUCGGUGCCGUAGGGAAGCCGUGAAGCGAGCCACCUGGGAAGUACGGCCGCAAGGCUGAAACUUAAAGGAAUUGGCGGGGGAG